rnacentral:rRNA from 1 species
CCCUAGUACUGCGAGUGAAGCGGGAAAAGCUCAAAUUUAAAAUCUGGCGGUCCCUGMGGCCGUCCGAGUUGUAAUCUAGAGAAGUGCUUACCCGCGCUGGACCGUGUACAAGUCUCCUGGAAUGGAGCGUCAUAGAGGGUGAGAAUCCCGUCUUUGACACGGACUACCAGGGCUUAUGUGGUGCGCUCUCGAAGAGUCGAGUUGUUUGGGAAUGCAGCUCUAAAUGGGUGGUAAAUUCCAUCUAAAGCUAAAUACAGGCGAGAGACCGAUAGCGAACAAGUACCGUGAGGGAAAGAUGAAAAGAACUUUGGAAAGAGAGUUAAACAGUACGUGAAAUUGCUGAAAGGGAAACGUUUGAAGUCAGUCGCGUUGGCUGGAGAUCAACCUUGCUCUUGUGGGGCGCACUCUCUGGUUUGACGGGUCAGCAUCAGUUUUGGCCAUUGGAUAAAGGCUAAGGGAAUGUGGCAUYGCUUCGGUGGUGUGUUAUAGCYCUUGGUUGCAUACGAUGGCUGGGACUGAGGAACUCAGCGUGCCUGCAAAGGCCGGGUACUUCGGGACCACGUACACGCUUANGAUGCUGGCAUAAUGGCUUUAAGCGACCCGUCUUGAAACACGGACCAAGGAGUCUAACAUGCUUGCGAGUGUUUGGGUGGAAAACCCGAGCGCGUAAUGAAAGUGAAAGUUGGGAUCCCUGUCGUGGGGGUGCACCGACGCCCGGACCAGACCUUCUUGUGACGG